rnacentral:rRNA from 1 species
GGCCAAGUUAUUAAGGGCGCACGGUGGAUGUCUUGGCACCAGGAGCCGAUGAAGGACGUGGGAGGCUGCGAUAUGCCUCGGGGAGCUGUCAACCGAGCUGUGAUCCGAGGAUUUCCGAAUGGGGAAACCCGGCAGGGCUUUAAAUCCUGUCACCCUUGCCUGAACACAUAGGGCAUGUGGAGGGAACGCGGGGAAGUGAAACAUCUCAUUACCCGCAGGAAGAGAAAACAACCGUGAUUCCGCGAGUAGUGGUGAGCGAAAGCGGAUGAGGCUAAACCAUGGUCGUGUGAUAGCCGGCAGGCGUUGCGAUGGUGGGGUUGUGGGAUCGUCCGGACGGGACUGCCGUUCCGUCAGGGAGUCAGAAAGAGCGCUGUUAGGCGAAGGUCAUGCGAAUGGACCGCCAUAGAGGGUAAUAGCCCUGUAGCUGAAAACAGUGUUCCUCCCGGACGUAUUCCCAAGUAGCACGGAGCCCGUGAAAUUCCGUGUGAAUCUGGCGGGACCACCCGCUAAGCCUAAAUACUCCCUGGUGACCGAUAGCGGACUAGUACCGUGAGGGAAAGAUGAAAAGUACCCCGGGAGGGGAGUGAAAUAGUACCUGAAACCGUGUGCCUACAAUCCGUGGGAGCUGGACUUCGGUCUGGUGACCGCGUGCCUUUUGAAGAAUGAGCCUGCGAGUUUGCGAUGUGUGGCGAGGUUAACCCGUCGUGGGGUAGCCGUAGCGAAAGCGAGUCCGAAUAGGGCGUUUGAGUCGCAUGUCCAAGACCCGAAGCCGAGUGAUCUAUCCAUGGCCAGGUUGAAGCGCGGGUAAGACCGUGUGGAGGACCGAACCCACCAGGGUUGAAAACCUGGGGGAUGAGCUGUGGAUAGGGGUGAAAGGCCAAUCAAACUCGGUGAUAGCUGGUUCUCCCCGAAAUGCAUUUAGGUGCAGCGUCGCAUGUUUCUUGCCGGAGGUAGAGCACUGGAUGGCCUAGGGGGCCCACAAGCUUACUGAAGUCAGCCAAACUCCGAAUGCCGGUAAGUGAAGUGCGGCAGUGAGACUGCGGGGGAUAAGCUUCGUAGUCGAGAGGGAAACAGCCCAGAUCGCC